UAGAGAAAUUGGAUGCAGGUAUGUCCCGAUCAUUCUCAGCAAAACCUGUUUGCUGAUCCACAUCACUAGCUUCUUCAUCACCCGUUCCAUCAUCAUCUUCUCUGUUGUACUUUUGAGAUUUUACCCGGUGACAAUGAUGGUUUGGGAUGAUUAGAUUUCAGGCCAGCUUUUGACACGGAUUUGGCUGAAGAAUUGACUGCAGAUUUGGCUGAAGAAUUGACUGCAGAUUUGGCUGAAGAAUUGACUGCAGAUUUGGCUGAAGAAUUGACUGCGGCUUUGACGGUGUUCCAUGAUGGUAAUUAUUCGAAACACCUGGCAAUGGAGAAACUGAUCUUCUUCUGUGAGAAGUGGCCCUGCCACUUGGAUUUGGUGGACGUUGACAGGCUUGAUCUUCUGCUGGUUUAGGUGUUCCAUGAUGGUAAUUAUUCGAAACACCUGGCAAUGGAGAAACUGAUCUUCUUCUGUGAGAAGUGGCCCUGCCACUUGGAUUUGGUGGACGUUGACAGGCUUGAGCCUCACCAACGACUGGCCCGGAACUGCAAUUUUCAAAAUUAAUGGGCCUUCCCCUUCCACGGCCGAUCCCCACGUGAUUGCCGGGCUGUGAUCUUGUUUGCCGGGCAUCUCUUUUCAUAAGAUCUGUUGGUGUUCUUCGGGAGAUGGAUUGUUUGGAAUAUUCCUACGCUUUGGUUCAGAUUCCAGUGAAUACCUACUGGCUGGUUUCCUGCUGCGCUUUUCCACUUGGUUUCCACUCGGCAUGUUGGAAGUAUUGAUUUAUGUAACUAAAAAGCAACUGAAGUCUGAAGAGCAUAUGAUGGAAACUAAGGGGGUUUGAGUUGAGGGAGUAGUAUGUAGUAUCAGGAGUUCUUGAAUACGUCAGGACAAACUGCUUUGGCGCAUACAGGCCAAUUAUUAGAUCAGCAGUUUUACUCAACUAAAGAUACAAAAGUUGACGGAACGUGAGGCUGGUUUCUGAUCAGUUGAUAGCCAGGAGAGAGACCGCAUUGACUCGAAGAACGCACUGGAAGAGUUUGUUCUAAACAUUCGCGGCCGCGUCAACGAUUCUGACGACUUGGAAUGUUAUAUUGAGUCAAAUGUUCGAGA